GGCUGGUCUAAAGGUAGUUAUUCUCAGCUGAUUGUUCACAGUUAGUUAAGAUUGUUCACAGUUAGUUACACAUCAAACUCCUUGUUCAACUCUUUCCACUUUAUCAUUACUACACUUGACAACUCUUUA
rnacentral:Y_RNA from 1 species